UAGGUUUAUUCUAAGUCAAACUUCUUUAGUUUGACCAUGUAUAUAGAAAAAUAUAUUAACAUCUACAAUGUUGAAAAUAUUAUGAAAAUAUAUUUUAUGCUUAAUCUAAUGAAGCUGAUUUGGUGUUGUAGAUGUUGGUAUAUUUUUCAGUAGAAUUGGUCAAACUUAAAGAUGUUUGACUUAGGACAAACCUAG
rnacentral:pre_miRNA from 1 species